rnacentral:rRNA from 1 species
CAGCAGCCACGGGAAUACGUAGGGUGCGAGCGUUAAUCGGAAUUACUGGGCGUAAAGCGUGCGCAGGCGGUUCGUUAAGACAGAUGUGAAAUCCCCGGGCUUAACCUGGGAACUGCAUUUGUGACUGGCGAGCUAGAGUAUGGCAGAGGGGGGUAGAAUUCCACGUAUAGCAGUGAAAUGCGUAGAGAUGUGGAGGAAUACCGAUGGCGAAGGCAGCCCCCUGGGCCAAUACUGACGCUCAUGCACGAAAGCGUGGAGAGCAAACAGGAUUAGAUACCCCCGUAGUCCCUGUCUCUUAUAC